rnacentral:rRNA from 1 species
AUUGAACGCUGGCGGCAGGCUUAACACAUGCAAGUCGAGCGGGGUGAUGGUGCUUGCACUAUCACUUAGCGGCGGAUGGGUGAGUAAUGCUUAGGAAUCUGCCUAUUAGUGGGGGACAACAUCUCGAAAGGGAUGCUAAUACCGCAUACGUCCUACGGGAGAAAGCAGGGGAUCACUUGUGACCUUGCGCUAAUAGAUGAGCCUAAGUCGGAUUAGCUAGUUGGUGGGGUAAAGGCCUACCAAGGCGACGAUCUGUAGCGGGUCUGAGAGGAUGAUCCGCCACACUGGGACUGAGACACGGCCCAGACUCCUACGGGAGGCAGCAGUGGGGAAUAUUGGACAAUGGGGGGAACCCUGAUCCAGCCAUGCCGCGUGUGUGAAGAAGGCCUUAUGGUUGUAAAGCACUUUAAGCGAGGAGGAGGCUCUUUUGGUUAAUACCCAGGAUGAGUGGACGUUACUCGCAGAAUAAGCACCGGCUAACUCUGUGCCAGCCGCCGCAGUAAGAC